AUUGAACGCUGGCGGCAUGCUUUACACAUGCAAGUCGAACGGUAACAGGCCGCAAGGUGCUGACGAGUGGCGAACGGGUGAGUAAUGCAUCGGAACGUGCCCAGUCGUGGGGGAUAACGCAGCGAAAGCUGCGCUAAUACCGCAUACGAUCUAUGGAUGAAAGCGGGGGACCGUAAGGCCUCGCGCGAUUGGAGCGGCCGAUGUCAGAUUAGGUAGGUGGUGGGGUAAAGGCUCACCAAGCCAACGAUCUGUAGCUGGUCUGAGAGGACGACCAGCCACACUGGGACUGAGACACGGCCCAGACUCCUACGGGAGGCAGCAGUGGGGAAUUUUGGACAAUGGGCGCAAGCCUGAUCCAGCAAUGCCGCGUGCAGGAAGAAGGCCUUCGGGUUGUAAACUGCUUUUGUACGGAACGAAACGGCUCUGGUUAAUACCUGGGGCUAAUGACGGUACCGUAAGAAUAAGCACCGGCUAACUACGUGCCAGCCGCCGCGGUAA
rnacentral:rRNA from 1 species